CUACGGGAGGCACCAGGCGCGAAACCUUUACAAUGCACGAAAGUGUGAUAAGGGGAUCCCAAGUGCCUUGCUUUUAGCAAGGCUUUUGUUAUGUGUAAAUAGCAUGACGAAUAAGUGGUGGGCAAUACCUGUGCCAGCCGCCGCGGUAACCCAGGAGCCACAAGUGGCAACCACUUUUAUUGGGCCUAAAGCGUCCGUAGCCGGCCUGGUAAAUUUCCUGUGAAAUCGUUGGGCUUAACCUAACGUCGUGCAGGAAACACUACUGGGCUAGGGACCGGGAGGCGUCAGAGGUAUUCCUGAGGGAGCGGUAAAAUGCUAUAAUCUCAGGAGGACCCCCUGUGGCGACGGCGUCUGACGAGAACAGAUCCGACGGUGAGGGACGAAAGCUAAGGGAGCAAACCGGAUUAGAUACCCCCGUAGUC
rnacentral:rRNA from 1 species